rnacentral:rRNA from 1 species
GGGGAAUUUUGGACAAUGGGCGCAAGCCUGAUCCAGCAAUGCCGCGUGAGUGAAGAAGGCCUUCGGGUUGUAAAGCCCUUUUGUCAGGGAAGAAACGGCUGAGGCUAAUAUCCUCGGCUAAUGACGGUACCUGAAGAAUAAGCACCGGCUAACUACGUGCCAGCAGCCGCGGUAAUACGUAGGGUGCAAGCGUUAAUCGGAAUUACUGGGCGUAAAGCGGGCGCAGGCGGUUUUGUAAGCCAGAUGUGAAAUCCCCGGGCUUAACCUGGGAAUGGCAUUUGGGACUGCAAGGCUUGAGUUUGGCAGAGGAGACUGGAAUUCCUGGUGUAGCAGUGAAAUGCGUAGAUAUCAGGAGGAAUACCGAUGGCGAAGGCAGGUCUCUGGGCUAGAACUGACGCUCAUGCACGAAAGCGUGGGGAGCAAAC